CGCGCGCCGCAGACCCACUUCCGGAGACUUCAGACAAGAUGGCGGCGACCGAGGAACGCGAUUCUCCGACCGAAGCGUCCCAGUCAGUGAUGGAAGAGGAGGAAACUAAAACAUUUAAAGACCUGGGUGUGACAGAUGUGUUGUGUGAAGCUUGUGACCAGUUGGGAUGGACAAAACCCACCAAGAUCCAGAUUGAAGCUAUUCCUUUGGCCUUACAAGGUCGUGAUAUCAUCGGGCUGGCAGAAACUGGCUCUGGAAAAACAGGCGCCUUUGCUUUGCCCAUUCUGAAUGCACUGCUGGAGACCCCACAGCGUUUGUUUGCCCUAGUUCUUACCCCGACUCGGGAGCUGGCCUUUCAGAUCUCAGAGCAGUUUGAAGCCCUGGGGUCCUCUAUUGGAGUGCAGAGUGCUGUGAUUGUGGGUGGAAUUGAUUCAAUGUCUCAAUCUUUGGCCCUUGCAAAAAAACCACAUAUAAUAAUAGCAACUCCUGGUCGACUGAUUGACCACUUGGAAAAUACGAAAGGUUUCAACUUGAGAGCUCUCAAAUACUUGGUCAUGGACGAAGCCGACCGAAUACUGAAUAUGGAUUUUGAGACAGAGGUUGACAAGAUCCUCAAAGUGAUCCCUCGAGAUCGGAAAACAUUCCUCUUCUCUGCCACCAUGACCAAGAAGGUGCAAAAGCUUCAGCGAGCAGCUCUGAAAAAUCCUGUGAAAUGUGCCGUUUCCUCUAAAUACCAGACAGUUGAAAAAUUACAGCAAUAUUAUAUUUUUAUUCCCUCUAAAUUCAAGGAUACCUACCUGGUUUAUAUUCUAAAUGAAUUGGCGGGAAACUCCUUUAUGAUAUUCUGCAGCACCUGUAAUAAUACCCAGAGAACAGCUUUGCUACUGCGAAAUCUUGGAUUCACUGCCAUCCCCCUCCAUGGACAAAUGAGUCAGAGUAAGCGCCUAGGAUCCCUUAAUAAGUUUAAGGCCAAGGCCCGUUCCAUUCUUCUAGCAACUGACGUUGCCAGCCGGGGUUUGGACAUACCUCAUGUAGAUGUAGUUGUCAACUUUGACAUUCCUACCCAUUCCAAGGAUUACAUCCAUCGAGUAGGUCGAACAGCUAGAGCUGGGCGCUCCGGAAAGGCUAUUACUUUUGUCACGCAUUUUCCUUCCUCAGGUAUGAUGUGGAACUCUUCCAGCGCAUAGAACACUUAAUUGGGAAGAAACUACCAGUCUUUCCAACACAGGAUGAUGAGGUUAUGAUGCUGGCAGAACGCGUGGCUGAAGCCCAAAGAUUUGCCCGAAUGGAGUUAAGGGAGCAUGGAGAAAAGAAGAAACGCUCGCGAGAGGAUGCUGGAGAUAAUGAUGAUACAGAGGGUGCUAUUGGUGUCAGGAACAAGGUGGCUGGAGGAAAAAUGAAGAAGCGGAAAGGCCGUUAAUUACUUUUAUGAAGGCUCACGUUCUACUGUUCUGUGAAAGAGAAUUGGAGAAUGAAACCUGCUCUGACAGAGAUCGUGAGACUGAAAUCUGUCAGAGUUGUGUCCAGAAUGUGCUCAGUGAAUUCAGUACUCUUCCCCAUUCUGGGUUGGAGUUUACUGCAGAAUAAUUCUUACAGUGCUGAUGUCAAGACCGUUACAGUUUCUUCAACUUUGACUCUUUGCUCAUGACAUGAGUAGGAUGUGCUCUUCUGUCACUCACACAGACCUGUUGCCUUUUUUAGCUGCAAGUCGAGGACUAGGUUGAUGAUGUCCACGACCUGUAAUUGUAAAGAAGCUUGGACAUCUGCAAAUGAUAUUUAAGCCAUCUUGGCUUGUGCUUUAUUCAAACUAAUGUGAAACAAUAAAUUUAAAUAUUAUUUUUAAAAGA